UUGAGGAAUGAAAACAUAAUAAAAUGUUGGAAUAUUUGCUAAACCUUAUGCUGAUGUUCUGAGCAUGCUUAGAGUCAGUGAAGUAUUUUAUGAGAACCUGAGUGGUGUGUUCUAGAAGCUAAUUAAACUUCUUUGUCUAUAGACUAUGUGUUUUCAAACAAAACUUCUUGGUGAAUUUUUGAUAAAUAUUAGAUCGUGUGAGAAAUUAUAGUGAAUAAAAAUAUACAUCACAGGAAAUAACAUCAGUCUAAGCAACAAUUUAAUAUUUAUUUUCUUCUUGCCAGUGAAUACAGAAGAAAUCACAACAGUUCAAGUAAAGACAUUUACCUGAUGAAGGUACAUCUGAUAUUGAAAGGAUUUUGACAGUGCUAUUGUCUGCAUAGCAGACAGGUGUAUUUGUAUUUAUAAAGCUACAGAAAAAUUCCUCCACUGGGAAUCAACUGGACCUAAGCCCUUUUCACGUGCUGGAAGUUAUGGCCAGUAACCAUCAGUAACACUCACUCCGCUGUAGGGAGGAGCUGCACGGCUGGACCCUGCUGCUGUUUCCCUCUUGCAGCUCAGAGCAGCCAAACAGUAUCCAGCCAGGAGAGAUGCCAUAAAGAUAUGCAGGUUUGGCCCUCUGCCAUACAUGAAAGAGCAUCCAGGCAAAGCAGUUGUCUCCCACUCUCUGUACUUCCUCUCUUGCCCUGGGCUUACAGGAGACCGCUGUUGUUUCUGGUUUGGAGUGAUACAGAGAUGGUUUUGUGCUAGCACAGGUCUUGCAGGGUGCAGUGGGACUGAGUGUCAUAUAACCUAUGUUGUGUGUUUCCCCAAGAUUAAGAAUUUAGGCAGUUUGUUACAGCAGAACAUAUCCUCCCAGGAUAGACCUUUUUGUGAAGAGAGCACAGGUACUGGGAGCUCCUCACACUGCGGUGGUGUUAGGAAGUGUGUGCUUUCUCUACAUUGUAGAUUUUAAGAGGUUGAAUUUUCAAAACUCAUCAUGUAGCAAUUUUUUUGCUUUGUUUAAAAAAACACCAAAAAAGCUAUUGCCUUUCAUUAAUAUUCUAGUCCUGGAUAUGUGUAAACACUUUAUGGCUCUGAGUUUAAAUGAGCAGAGGAUUUGGGAAGUUCAGACACGUAGGGUUUCGAUCUUAGAAUGGGUGUGAUGAUUCAGAAAAU